AUACCACUUGUUGCCUCGGCGGAUCAGCCCGCUCCCGGUAAAACGGGACGGCCCGCCAGAGGACCCCUAAACUCUGUUUCUAUAUGUAACUUCUGAGUAAAACCAUAAAUAAAUCAAAACUUUCAACAACGGAUCUCUUGGUUCUGGCAUCGAUGAAGAACGCAGCAAAAUGCGAUAAGUAAUGUGAAUUGCAGAAUUCAGUGAAUCAUCGAAUCUUUGAACGCACAUUGCGCCCGCCAGUAUUCUGGCGGGCAUGCCUGUUCGAGCGUCAUUUCAACCCUCAAGCACAGCUUGGUGUUGGGACUCGCGUUAAUUCGCGUUCCCCAAAUUGAUUGGCGGUCACGUCGAGCUUCCAUAGCGUAGUAAUAAAACCCUCGUUACUGGUAAUCGUCGCGGCCACGCCGUUAAACCCCAACUUCUGAAUGUUGACCUCGGAUCAGGUAGGAAUACCCGCUGAACUUAAGCAUAUCAAUAAGCGGAGGAAUUG
rnacentral:rRNA from 1 species